UACGUAGGGGGGCAAGCGUUGUCCGGAUUUAUUGGGCGUAAAGAGCGUGUAGGCGGCCUGACAGGUCUGCUGUGAAAACUCGAGGCUCAACCUCGAGAUGUCGGCGGAAACCGUCUGGCUAGAGUCCGGAAGAGGAGAGUGGAAUUCCUGGUGUAGCGGUGAAAUGCGCAGAUAUCGGGAAGAACACCUAGUGGCGAAGGCAGCUCUCUGGGACGGUACUGACGCUGAGACGCGAAAGCGUGGGGAGCGAACAGG
rnacentral:rRNA from 1 species